rnacentral:lncRNA from 1 species
UCCAAAUGUUACAAAUAAUUCCAAAAGACUUACAUGAUAAUCCAAAGGCUUACACAAUCAAUUCAAACUUACAUAGUCCAAUAGCUACAUAACUAUCCAAAAAAAGAAGUUUCAAAUUAAAUUUAUGCAUAUUACAAACAGUCCCUAAAUUCUUAUACAAUCCAAAAGAUCUUUUACAUCUAAAUAAAUUUGAAAAAAUUGAAUAAGAUGUAAAAUCCAACAGUUUGAAGCAGCAAGCUUCAAAGACUUUUCCAAAAGCUCUUUUGGAAAUUUCAGCCCCCCAAUUCCAAGCAAGCGCCUCCCCCCUUUUCAAUCAAUAUACAUUCACCUUUUGCAAACCUACAAAACCAAUUCAAGGGUUAAAACAGCUUAUCAAAUAAGCACUUAAAGAACUGGAAAAUAAAUGAUGAACAGAUUAAUUCUUUGCACAAUGAACCAAGGUGAACGCUCAAAAUACAUUCCAAUAUCCAAUCCAAACAGCUCUAAAUCCACAGAGUAAACAUUCCAUAAAUUCAGGAAAAAGGAUAAUCCAACAAGUGAUCUCAAAACAAAAAUUCACAGUAUAUAUAUAACAACCAAAAUUAACAGUAGGGGAGGAGACACGUUUUAAAAAAAUCCAAGAGAAAACAAUCAAAUAUUGUUCUGUUAAACUCAAACCCUAAUCAAUAAAACAGACACGGUUUUUUUUAAUCAAAAGAAGAAAUCAAUAAAAAUAUUUUUUGUAGUAAUCAUACAACACCCAAAAGAAUGAAAACAAGCAUCAGAAACAAAGAAAGAAGAAGACGAAGUUACUCAUCUGAAGCACGAUAGAGUGUCGCCGGCGUUUGAACUUCACCCAAGUAAGAUUUCCAUGCUCGUUCGAAUUUUUUCAUCAUUCAUCUUCGCCUCUACAUACUAAGUAAAACCCCUAUUUUAAAUUCUUCAAAACGCGUAGGUAGAAGUUUGAAUCUUGAAUUUUAGGGUUAGGAUUUCGUUUGGCCGCGUAAGAGGGAGAGUUUAAAGUUAGGUUUUAGGUUUGGGUUUUGAAGGAGGGCCUUGAUCCGGCCAUUUGAGAAAGAAUUUGGAAAAGGCGAGUUUAGAUUUGAGUUCAGAAGCCAAAAUAAGGUGGGGUACAUGUUUGGUGUUUUGAGGUUUGUGAGGUGGAGUCGCCGGAGAAGAGGGCGGCGCCGCCGCGGUUGGCCGGCCGCCACCGUCUUCUCCGGCAAGGUUGGCCGCGAGGGGUGGUGACGGAAAAGAGGAAAAGUUGCAGAGCAACUUUUUGAAACGAAUUGAAGAGAGAGAACGGGAAUGAGCAAA